rnacentral:lncRNA from 1 species
UUUCUCAUGUGCUAGUUCAUAACUGUAUUUUUUCCUGCUACUGGCCUGCUUUAUUACUCACUCUACCCUUCAAUACCUCCAUAUAGAGUAGCAGCUACCCUUCAAUACCUCCAUAUAGAGUAGCAGCAGCCUCUUUGAUUUUUUGUUGAAUUUUGGGUGAAUACAAACAAAACCUAUGAAGCACUGAUACAAACAUUUGAAAUGACACUGACACGAACAUUUGAAAUGACACUGACACAUUGACAUCAAUAGUAAUUUGAGAAAUUUGGAUGAUUGAAGUAGUCACAUCACAUGUGUUGGUGUCGUGUCGGUGUUGGACACUAACACGUGUCAGACAACACCUUCGAUCAGAAGUGUCGGUGCUACAGAGAACACAACGUUCUUGCAUUCACGUUGGCUUUUCUUUCAUUCUAAACUAAGUUUAGACACAUGGUUUCAUUCAGGGGAUUAUUGAUGGAUAGUCUGUGGGUUUUGGAGAGCAUCAUGAAAUUGUGAAAAUUACUUUAUUCGUUAAUGGUAAAUUUAUAGUAUACUUAUUGCUUCCUCUAAAAUAAUAGAGUUAUGUCCAGCUUGUCUCUUGUUCUUUUGUUUCAAUUUAAUGUUAAUGUUAAUAUUAUUAAUUUAUUUAAUGUUAAUAUUACUAAUUAUUAAUUUAUUAUUUGUUGCUUUUCACAAACACUGGCCGUGUAAUUCAUAGUUUUCAUACUUCUAGUUUACUUUUCUGUUAUCCCUAGGCUGCCAUUCCGGUUGUUUUGAUCGAGAACAGUGGCAGAUGCAACAAAAAUGAAAGCGAUGAGAAGGUUGGAGAUUUGGCUCGUGGCAUUUUCUCUUGUAUCCUCCU